UGGGGAAUAUUGCACAAUGGGGGAAACCCUGAUGCAGCGACGCCGCGUGGAGGAAGAAGGUCUUCGGAUUGUAAACUCCUGUUGUUGAGGAAGAUAAUGACGGUACUCAACAAGGAAGUGACGGCUAACUACGUGCCAGCAGCCGCGGUAAAACGUAGGUCACAAGCGUUGUCCGGAAUUACUGGGUGUAAAGGGAGCGCAGGCGGGAAGACAAGUUGGAAGUGAAAUCCAUGGGCUCAACCCAUGAACUGCUUUCAAAACUGUUUUUCUUGAGUAGUGCAGAGGUAGGCGGAAUUCCCGGUGUAGCGGUGGAAUGCGUAGAUAUCGGGAGGAACACCAGUGGCGAAGGCGGCCUACUGGGCACCAACUGACGCUGAGGGCUCGAAAGUGUGGGUAGCAAACAGGAUUAGAUACCCUGGUAGUCCACACUGUAAACGAUGAUUACUAGGUGUUGGAGGAUUGACCCCUUCAGUGCCGCAGUUAACACAAUAAGUAAUCCACCUGGGGAGUACGACCGCAAGGUUGAAACUCAAAGGAAUUGACGGGGGCCCGCACAAGCAGUGGAGUAUGUGGUUUAAUUCGACGCAACGCGAAGAACCUUACCAAGUCUUGACAUCCUGCGACGCACAUAGAAAUAUGUGUUUCCUUCGGGACGCAGAGACAGGUGGUGCAUGGUUGUCGUCAGCUCGUGUCGUGAGAUGUUGGGUUAAGUCCCGCAACGAGCGCAACCCUUAUGGUCAGUUACUACGCAAGAGGACUCUGGCCAGACUGCCGUUGACAAAACGGAGGAAGGUGGGGAUGACGUCAAAUCAUCAUGCCCUUUAUGACUUGGGCUACACACGUACUACAAUGGCGUUAAACAAAGAGAAGCAAGACCGCGAGGUGGAGCAAAACUCAGAAACAACGUCUCAGUUCGGACUGCAGGCUGCAACUCGCCUGCACGAAGUCGGAAUUGCUAGUAAUCGCAGAUCAGCAUGCUGCGGUGAAUACGUUCCC
rnacentral:rRNA from 1 species